rnacentral:lncRNA from 1 species
CAAAAUAUCAAGCUUUCCAAAUUGUGUUUUGAUGAAGUCUACUAAAGGAGCAAUACUGGCAGGAUCUGCAACAUCGAGUUGAUGAAAAACUACAUUAUCAGAUAGGCCGCACUGUUUCAGCUUUCCAACAGCUUCAAGACCCCUCUUCUCAUCUCUAGCAGUUAACAACACCGUGAUUCCGUUUGAAGCUAGCUGUUUACAUAUUUCCAAUCCAAUUCCCUUGUUUGCACCAGUAACCACUGCAUAUCUGAGAAAAAAAAGAAAUAUGGUUCAGAGAAUUAAAAACAGAACAAAGGUUAUUGGUGCUGUGUUACCCUGAAAGCGUGGAGACAGCACAUAUGGAAGCCAAAAUUACUACCUCUUCGUUACUUCUGCCAUUGAUAAGGAGAAAUAGAAAGAACCCUCUUCUGGCCUGCACUCUGGAAGUUAGAAAAUAUGUCGGAACCCUUUUUUAAAAAAGGAAGAACAUGAACACUGACAAAACUUCAUUCACUUGCAUCAACAGCUGAUACAUCUAUUUAUAGUAUACAGUAACCGACAUAACUUAAAUUAAAUCUAGUUACAAAUUAACUAGUCAUUAGUAAACUAGAAACCAUGGGCAGCAGUAUGAUUUUUUACCAAAUGACAGACAUAUUUUGACAGAAUUGCAGCUCUGACAUUGCAAUGCGUGCUCAAGUCUUUCAUGCUCAAAAAAGUCAGCCUACCAUUUAAUGUGCCAAAAACAUAUCCUCAGCCUCUACAAAAUAAGAAGCAACGUACUUGUUGCCUUCGGGGUGCUUUUCUUCUUAUGUUUAUCCGGUUUAUUUUAUUUUCUUUUGUGGUUACAUGAUUGCCUAGAUUUAAUGGAAGUGGAAAACCCCACGUAACCAAUUUUUUGUGGGCGAUAGACGACAAAAGGAAGGAUAGGUCCAAGCAGCUCAUAAAUAAGACUCAUUUUUUUCAAAAUAGAAGUUCCCAAUUCAUAUUUUUUAAAAUAGGAAGAUGUACUUCAUACUUACUUUUUAGACUCCAUAUUUUUUUUUUGCUUGGCCAAUCAUCAAAUAUAACAAAUUCAAAUAUGAGAAACAUAAUUUGAGUUUAAUAGUUCAAGAAGAUUAUUCAAAGACUAAUAUCGUUAUAUUUUUAUGCUAGUGACUCAAGGUAAACCUUUCCUUGAAUUUAAACACGUUCAAGGUCUUUAUAAAUAAAUUAUGUUUAUUCAAUACAUUUUUAUAAAUAAUUUUCUAAUAUAUAUACCACUCAUCGGUGAUUAUAAAUUAUUUACAAUUUGAAAAUUGAAAAUCAUAUGAUGAAUUCAGUUUUUUUCAUCAAUUUUAUGUUAAAAAUUCUCUUAAUGUUCCUUUUGCAUUGCUUUCCCGCUUUUAUUGGGCAUCCCAUCUUCUCUUCGUUGUUUUUUAGCUUCUUCAUCUUAGUCGUCAAUCUCUUUACAAGUGGUAUAAAAAUCCUUAUGUUUUAAAUAUUGCUAAUGCUGAGGAUCUAAAUAUGUAGUUGUGUUUCUGAAGUUAUACAUCAAAUUCCUUAAAGUGUUAAUAGGUCGAAGACUAGUUUUACAAUAUACAAUUAUUUUCAAAAUGGCAAAAGGGAGGAAUGCAUGACUUAAAAAAGCAAAGAAUUGACAAUUGUGCAGUGACACAUAAAUUGGUAAUGAACUGGUUACUUGGAGCAUAUCUACCAGUGCCAUUGAAAUGCAAUAUUAUGCUGUACUUCCAAUCAACUUUUCAACUCCAAAACUAUUCCAAGCAUAGGAUCAAUGGUCCAAUCAAACACAUGUAAGUUUUCUUGUUGUGCACUUAAAAGCUCUAAUUUGUUACUCUCUAAAAGUUGCCUCUAAAAGCUUAACAGUUUUUUUUUUAAGUGCUAAGAACAAGUAUAUAAAAUGUUUUCAAUAACAGCAUAAACAUAAGAUGUUUUAACGAAAUCUAGCAUGGUUGCUCAACUUUUCUAAUAAGUUUUCCAGUUUUCAAGGUAAUUUUUUAAUCAAGAACUUCACCUAAUAAAAAUCUUCAACUUUUGAGUCGCAAAUCAACUCAACAAUUGUAUCUUAUCUGGAUAAAAGCUUAAUUAACAAUUUAAAUGAGUUUUUUUUAAUAGGUAGAGAGUAGUGUUGCAACAAGUAAAACAAAAUAUGUUGGAAACAAUAAUAGGAAGAUUAAAGUCAUUUUUAAAAUAUUGAGUGUUGUGACAAUGGGUAAUAGAUAUAAUGGUAAAAAAGAGAGGUGGAAAAGCAAAGGAUAAGGUAGGAGAAGAGCUCGGAGAAUUUAGAGGUAAUAUUUAAAAAGAGGGAGAGACUAUUGAUUUUCUGUGUUCUUUAAUGAAUUGUUUGAGCUCAUAUAUAUAGGUCACGUAGGAGGAUUACUCUAGAAUACUUGAUUUAAUUGGAGUAGUCUAGUAGGGUAGUGAGUUUUCUAGAUAUUCAAGCCACUAUUAGCAUAGUGGGUUUUGUGACAUUCAGAAUGUGCCACUUGCUAUUCAAGAAAGAGAAAAGUAAAAAAUAUUUGUAUUUCAUAGAAAAUUUUUUUAAAAAAAUUUAACUACAUCUAUAUUUGAAUCAACUAGUCAAAAUUUUCAAAACAUCUCAUCAGUAAAAUUAAUUCGUAAAACCUAUCAAUUGUCUUGGGUUACUUUAAUUGGUUUUUAAGAUUGACAUAGUUGUUUUACUCGUUUGUUCUUUCUAUAUUUAUAUGCUUUAAAUUAAUUUUAUUUUAUAUAAUGUCAAAGAGAUAGUAUGAUAGCAGUCAAAAUCAAACAAAUACAAACAACAAUUCUAGAAAUUUCAUACAUGAUUGAUGAAAUUUUCUUGAUCUUGCUUGUUAGAUAGUUUGUUAAUAUUUGUCUUAUUGAUGAAGAGUUGUGACUAAAGAAUUGCAAAUAAUUACCUUAUUAAAUAUAACUUUUAAAUAGUUGUAUUAUGAAAGGUUGUUAAAUAUAAUUUUUAUGAACAGUUGUAUUAUAAAAGGUUAUUAAAAAUAAUUGUUUAGAAACAAUUGUAUUAUGAAAGGAAAUAGUUUUUGAAUUGUCUUGUUAUAAAAGGAAAUGACUGUUUAUAUUAAAAAAACAUGUACCUUCAUUUAUUAUAUAAACAAGGUUUUUACAUUCUCAUUUUCAUAAUUCUGAUUAAGUGUGUUAAAAACUUUAUUGUAUCAUCGAGGUUGAAAAAAUAUCUUAAAGAAAAUGUUUUAUUCACUUCCUCAAAAUCAUACUCUUCUUUCUUCUCAAAAUUUCUAACAAUGCUUUCAUAUAUGACUGAUGUAAUUUUCUUUAUUUUUUGCUUUUGUAAUUUUUUAGUAUGUUCAUACUUCUAUUGUCAUCAACGAUCUGAUUCCACAAAUUUCCUCAAACCAAAAUAAACAAACAAAUAAAUGUUGUUACAAUCAAAUGCUUCGUAUCCUACGCAAUCUCCCAGGGAAUACUUCCACGUUCAAACACAAAGUUUUAUUGGUGCUAACUGAGAAUAAAUUAAUCGUUGGUUUUUUGUGGUAAGACCAAGAUUAUUUAAUUAAGCAAGCACAUUGUUUGAAGACCAUCAUUACAUCCACGGUGGCCUGGCAAAAGAAAGUUACACCACAAGAUUUCUUAUGCAUGUUCAUUGUACUGGACAAAAUGAGAGGAAAUGGAAGCUGCGUUGCAUCUCUGAUGAGAUUGCAUUAUUUAUGGCACUAGUAUCAAUUUUCUGAGUCGAAACUUGCAGGUUCACUCCGAUUGAAGAAAAGGCCAGAAGGACCACCGUUUGGCAAGAGUGCUAACAUAACAGGACUCGCGGCCCCUUCUUCAACAGUUAACUUACCCGUAUUGAAAUUUAUAUCUGUUUUGACAUGGCCGGGGCAAACACAGUUGAUGCAGAAAUUCGGAUACUUCUUGGCCAGAAUCCUUGUGUGAGCAUUCAUGGCUACUUUUGAGACUGUAUAGGCAGAGAGGGCGGUUGGCCAACCUUUACUUUCUAGUGAACCCUCCUUAAAAUCUUUUAGAUAUUCAGCGACCAAGUCGUCCAGUUUCUCUUCUGUGGUAAAACCCGUUAAUAUUCCUUUGAGCCGUUCACCAGUCAUACGCUGAAACAAUGGUGAGAAGAAACUUUCUGGUCAAUCUUCUAUUAUAGUAUCAGAAAGCCAGGAAUUAUUUCUUUAGAGGGUUAUGUUUCUGUAAGGAUUCUACCUUUACCAUGACCACAGAGGAGGAAACAUUUACAAUCCUUGGUAAGUCAGAUAACUGCAACAAGGGAGCAAGUGCUUCGGCUGUAUUUUUAGCGCCAUAGUAGUUUAUCUUCAGGCAUUCUUCUGCUGCCUCGUAGGUUUGACUUACUUUACUCCAAAUGGUACUUGAACCUUCCUAUAUUUCAUAUUUGUAACAAGAAACUCAGGUUGUCAGGCUUUCUGAAAGACAUAAUAAACGAAGCCCAAACAAGUAAAAAGCCUUUCCUUUAUUACUACUGAAAAAAAACAGGACUGAACUGCUGUUUCCCAUUGGUCAAAUAUCAUCUUGCUGAAUAUCUUUAAGGCUAAUUGUACAAUCUGAGAAUCCAAUUAAGCAACCGUUCGACCACUUUUACCUUGACCGAAUGAACUUUCAAACUCCAAAUUAAAGCAUGGAUACGUGUGAGAUCAUGGGCUGUGAGACUUUCCAUUUAACUUAAAAUGUGAAAUUGUUAGGUAAGAAUUUUAAGAAUAGGAUUUAGUAAUUUCUAAGUUCUAACUCCAGUUUAGUUGUGCAGCACGCUGCAUCAAUGAAUGAAACUUUGAUAUUCGAAGAGUAUUCUAAAGCAUCUUCGGACAUUAAGGACAGGUUUUUUGGAUCAAAUUGUAUUAUUCACUACUAAGUACUUAUAACCUUGUCUUAUUUAGGAGAUUACCUGAGCAAAACCUGCAGCUCUAAGAGCAUCAGCAUCGGCUUCUACGCCAUUAAUUCCUGCAUUAUUCACCUGCACAAGACUCCAGCGUCUCUAAUCAUUCAAUAUCAAAUGAUAAAGGAAAAGAGCUAAAAUAGAAAAUAAAAAGGGGUGGGAGGGCAGAUUAACUGAAAAUUCAUACUAAAGAGAUUCCAAUUUUGCAGUAAGUUGGAACUGAAAUGAUACCAAAAUAUCAAGCUUUCCGAAUUGUUUUUUGAUGAAGUCUACCAAAGAAGCAAUACUAGCAGGGUCUGCAACAUCAAGUUGAUGAAAAACUACAGUAUCAGAUAGGCCGUACUGUUUCAGCUUUUCAACAGCUUCAAGACCCCUCUUCUCAUCUCUAGCAGUUAACAACACCGUGAUUCCUUUUGAAGCUAGCUGUUUACAUAUUUCCAAUCCAAUUCCCUUAUUUGCGCCAGUAACCACUGCAUAUCU